GCCUGGUGCGGUGGUGGGCACCAGUAAUCCUAGGUACUUGGGAGGCUGAGGCAGGAGAAUUGCUUGAACCUGGGAGGCAGAGGUUGCAGUGAGCUGAGAUCGUGCCACUGCACUUCAGCCUGGGUGAUAGAGUGAGAUUCUGUCUCAA
ensembl:misc_RNA Metazoa_SRP Metazoan signal recognition particle RNA